rnacentral:rRNA from 1 species
CACUGCCGAGAAAAGCCUCUAGAUAGAAAAUAGGUGCCCGUACCGCAAACCGACACAGGUAGUCAAGAUGAGAAUUCUAAGGUGAGCGAGCGAACUCUCGUUAAGGAACUCGGCAAAAUGACCCCGUAACUUCGGGAGAAGGGGUGCUCUUUAGGGUUAACGCCCAGAAGAGCCGCAGUGAAUAGGCCCAAGCGACUGUUUAUCAAAAACACAGGUCUCUGCUAAACCGUAAGGUGAUGUAUAGGGGCUGACGCCUGCCCGGUGCUGGAAGGUUAAGAGGAGUGGUUAGCUUCUGCGAAGCUACGAAUCGAAGCCCCAGUAAACGGCGGCCGUAACUAUAACGGUCCUAAGGUAGCGAAAUUCCUUGUCGGGUAAGUUCCGACCCGCACGAAAGGCGUAACGAUUUGGGCACUGUCUCAACGAGAGACUCGGUGAAAUCAUAGUACCUGUGAAGAUGCAGGUUACCCGCGACAGGACGGAAAGACCCCGUGGAGCUUUACUGUAGCCUGAUAUUGAAAUUCGGCACAGCUUGUACAGGAUAGGUAGGAGCCUUUGAAACGUGAGCGCUAGCUUACGUGGAGGC